rnacentral:rRNA from 1 species
UGGUGGAGUGAUUUGUCUGGUUAAUUCCGAUAACGAACGAGACCUUAACCUGCUAAAUAGCCAGGCCGGCUUUUGCUGGUCGCCGGCUUCUUAGAGGGACUGUCAGCGUCUAGCUGACGGAAGUUUGAGGCAAUAACA